UACAGAGGGGGCAAGCGUUGUUCGGAAUUACUGGGCGUAAAGGGCGCGUAGGCGGCCUUCUAAGUCGAACGUGAAAUCCCUGGGCUCAACCCAGGAACUGCGUCCGAUACUGGGAGGCUUGAAUCCGGGAGAGGGAUGCGGAAUUCCAGGUGUAGCGGUGAAAUGCGCAGAUAUCAGGAGGAGCACCGGUGGCGAAGGCGGUUCUCUGGGCCUUACCUGACACUGAGGAGCGAAAGCGUGGGGAGCGAACAGG
rnacentral:rRNA from 1 species